GAAGGAUAGGUUAUAAGCGAAUGGCGGAUGCCUUGGGAUAUUAAAGUGAUGAAGGACGUGGCGUGCCUGCGAUAAGCGUCGGGGAGCUGGCUAGCAAGCUUUGAUCCGGCGAUGUCCGAAUGAGGAAACUCUAUUGCGGUAAUACGCAAUAAUCUUGGCAGUAAUGCCAAGAAGCUAACCCGCUGAAGUGAAACAUCUCAGUAAGCGGAGGAAAAGAAAACAACGCGCCAUCCUACAGGAUGGCGAACAAUUGACAAUUGACAGGUGACAAUUGACCAACGAUGAAAAAUUUUUGUGAAACAAAAAUUUUUCAUUAAGUCAAAUGUUAAAUGUUAAAGGUUACAUGUUCGCCACCCCGUAGGGUGGCGCACAUUCCCUUAGUAGUGGCGAGCGAAGAGGGAAGAGUCUAAACAGAAUCUUUAAAAAGAUUCUGGGUUGUAAGGGUUUAACGUCGGGGGCAUUAUUUAUUUUUCGUAUAGUCGAAAAAUAAAUAGUGACUGCCGAGGGAGAGCAUCUAGGUGAUUUAUUAAAAGAAGCACCCUGGAAAGGGGCGCCAUAGAGGGUAAUAGCCCCGUAUUCUAAAAUAAUUUCACGCUCCUUGUUAGAUUUCUUGAGUACUGUCGGGCAUGAUAACCUGGCAGGAAGCAGGCCGAACUAUCGGCCAAGACUAAAUAUUUAAUAUCACCAAUAGUGAACCAGUACCGUGAGGGAAAGGUGAAAAGUAGGGGGUUGACCCCGGUGAAAUAGAACCUGAAACCAUUUGCUUACAAAGAGUCGGAGCCAUGCGCAUCAUACUGGGUAUGAUGCGACAAUUGACAAUUAACCAUUGACAAUUGACCAACGCGCGAUUUUUGCAGAGCAAAAAUCGCGAAAGUCAAAUGUUAAAUGUCACAUGUCAAAUGUCGCGCAUCAUGCAUAGUAUGAUGCGCGUGGUGACGGCGUGCUUUUUGCAGAACGAGCCAACGAGUUUGUCUCUCCAACUUGUCUAAGCCCUUACGGGGUGUAGGCGUAGCGAAAGCGAGUGUUAAUAGCGCGUUUGUUGGAGGUACAAGACCCGAAGCGUGACGAGCUUACCAUGAGCAGGAUGAAGGGUGCAGAAAUGCGCCUGGAGGUCCGAACCCGUGAGUCGUGCAAUCCUCUGGGAUGACUUGUGGUAAGGAGUGAAAAGCUAAUCGAGUUACGUAAUAGCUGGUUCUU
rfam:Candidatus Staskawiczbacteria bacterium RIFCSPHIGHO2_01_FTLL_39_25 rifcsphigho2_01_scaffold_15006, whole genome shotgun sequence.